rnacentral:snRNA from 1 species
CGGCGGGUCGAUCCGGGCG